rnacentral:rRNA from 1 species
AGGGCUUCGGCCCCAGUAAAGCGGCGCACGGGUGAGUAACACGUAGGUAAUCUACCCCCAGGCGGGGGAUAACCUUCCGAAAGGAGGGCUAAUACCGCAUAAGACCACGACCUCGAAAGGGGAUGAGGUCAAAGCCGGCCUCUUCAUGAAAGCUGGCACCAGGGGAUGAGCCUGCGGCCCAUCAGCUAGUUGGUAGGGUAAUGGCCUACCAAGGCUAAGACGGGUAGCUGGUCUGAGAGGAUGAUCAGCCACACUGGAACUGAGACACGGUCCAGACUCCUACGGGAGGCAGCAGUGGGGAAUCUUGCGCAAUGGGCGAAAGCCUGACGCAGCGACGCCGCGUGAGUGAUGAAGGCCCUCGGG